rnacentral:sRNA from 1 species
ACCUAAACCCGAUAGCAGCGGGCAUCCCGAUUUUUGCAUCGGGAUAAAGCGGAUAGCGGGAACAUAC